ACCAGCACGCACUCUAUUAUUACUUCUCAUCCAUCUUCUUCCUUGAUUUUUAAACUUUUAGACUUCAUUGAUGCUUCGUAUCCCUCGAAGAAGGAGAGUGAGAGAAUGGGAGCUCUUGCUCUUCCUACACCAUGGAUUCCUGAAGAUGACCUUCUGCUUAAGAAUGCAACCGAGGGCGGGUGCUUCUUUGGAAUCACUAGCGAAAGGUGCAGUGCAGUUUCCACGGAGGUUUACAAUUAAGGAAUUGCAAGAGAGGUGGUAUGCCCCCCCUAUGAUCCUAUUAUCUCGACGAGAGCUGCUGAACAAAUGGUAGAGUUAGAACGUUCUACAUCCAACCUUGCUUCGAAAUCUAAUAGAGCUGACAAUUCAAAAGGAACUAAAAAUGCUCAUGGGAAGAGGAAGGUCGAAAGUGUUCGUAGAUGUUAUUAUGCUAUGAGAAAAAGAGUAUGCAAUGAGCCUAAUAACCAGAGUGAUACAUCUUUUCUUGUUGGACCUGGUGAUAAUUUUUUUAUGGAUGGGGCUCAAGCCCCUGUCCCAGACGACCUGCUUGGAGAUUGACAGGCUAAAGUCGUAUUACCUAGUCAAAGAUAAACCUAAGUCCACUAACAAGAUAUCAAGGGAAGUAGGGAUCGUAUCCACAGGGAAACAUGCGUUCUUUCUAUUACUAAAACUAAAGUCUAGACUAUUGCGGACAAGAGAUUGAUUUGGUUUGAAUAAUAAACUACA